rnacentral:lncRNA from 1 species
CUGGGGGCAAGGGGCCAGGUCAGGUCAGUGCUGGGGUUUCUCCCCUUUUCCACUGGUAGUGUCACAGAAAGAGAGAAGCCCCAGCGUUGCUGUUUUUAAGGUGAGUGACAAAGUCUAUGCAGGGGAGCACGACGGGAUCCAGUGUGGGGAUGAAGGCAGGAGUUUGUCUUGAGCUGUAGGAGUCUGCAAACACCCAGUGCAACAAGUGGCAGAGGGUGCAGCGGGAAGGUGAUGGGUUGCAGCUCGCUGUUGGAGCCCUACAGGCCAGUCCCCAGCCCUUCCCCUGGGCCUCCUGCCCCAGGAGGGGCUUUGCACAAAACACUCACUCCAAACUUUGCAAUGAGCGCAGAAAGCUCCAGCACACGCUUCCUUGCACAAACUGUGAGUUAUGCAGCCACUGCUGAACGUCUUUAAAGACUCUGCAGCAACAAUUGGGCUGAGCAAGUUCUCCCCACCCUGCUGUGGUUAAAUGCACGGGGACCUUCAGCUACGCGUGCGUGGCUUCACCUGCAGCAGCUCCCAGGACAGGCUGGCUCAGCUCCUGAGAGCAAGGACAGCAGUUCCUUCAGACAGGCAUGUGGUGGCAAGAUCUGGGGUUCGGUUUCCUCGUCCUACACAAAGAAAGCUUCUUGAGUUCGGACUCCUAGCCACUACCGGUAGGUCCUGCCUUGCUCAGCUGUCGUCGUCUCAGUGUGGUUUCGCCAGGUGGGGUGGGAAGGUGGGUGGGAGGGGAGGAGCUGGAG